CUGAAUCCAAUCGCGAAAAAAGACCCAAAGACAACCAGACUUGAGAGAGCAACUUAAGAACUUGAGAGUGAAAACUUGACAAAGACGUGAUGACUGUUCAACAUUUUUAAAUUAGUAUUAUUAACAGUGUAUUUCAUUAUAAAACUGUCAAGUAAGAUCAGAAGGAUGGUUGGUUUGGCAAGCUAGCUAACCGGCUAGCAUAUGUUUUUUUAGCGGAGAAGCCCUAAGCAAGAGGACAGCAGAGAUGUGGACAAAUGCUCGGGAAGACUACAGGCUGCUUUAGAAUACCACUGAGGUGCGGUGAGCCUUCCGGCAGCCCCAUCGGCUGAUGGGGCAUCACCAGGUGGGUGCUGCGUGAUCAGUGGUGGUCAAGGAGUAGCUUUCUAGCUACAGAGACCAGACUGCUCUGUUUAACGGCUCUGGACCACAGUCAUAUUGCUCCAAGACCAGACUGACCCUGAUUGAGGCUCCCGAGGCUUACCCCUGGCUAUGAUCGUGAUGCUCUCUCCCAAGAACAUUUAGCAUUUGAUUUGUUUAUUUAAUUAUUUGUUUAUUUUUUGGGGCAUGGACUGUACACCGCAAUACAGUUUUUAGCUGCCAAUGUUGUACACCAUGACAAACUAAACUCUGAAUACAGGGUGAUUAGUUAAAACAGGACACCACUUGGUCCCUGUCCUCCAAAUGGGAGGGUGGAUGACACAGUGGCAGUGGAUAUCCUACACAAGGUGAUAGGUGUCCUUUACCAAGGUCUUCCCCAACCAUUAUAUACAAUGUAUAGGCCUUCAUGUCAAGGUUUAUUACUAUAUAAACUGUGUCAACACUGGACAGUUGGUUUGAAUCUUUGUGUUAUUAUACACUUGGACUCUGUGUUCCACAGGGAUGCUGGCCCAUGUUGACUCCAAUGCUUCUCGCAGCUGGCUGGAUGUCCUUUGGAACAGCGUUGCAUUUCUUGACACACUCAAACCACUUUAAAAAGUUAAAAAGUUGUAAGCUUGCACCGCGCGACUGAGAGGUACCCAGCAUCACGGCUUCAUUGCUUCAGACCACCACAAGGGGGAGUUCGAGCACUCAUUAUGGAUUUGGGUCCUAAGGUUUUUGGGACCCAAAAAUGACCAAUCAUAUCGAGUGGUUCCAAUGACAAAUUUGACACGAUCCAUCCGUCCCUGGUGACUUUCUUCAGCAAAGAUGGCUGAAAAUAUUAAGGUGGAAUAAAAUUUGAUUUGAUAUCAAAUGCAAGUAAUUAUAACGUCAUAAUGAGUCAAGCAAAACAUGUACAAUUGAGAAGAAUAUGUUAGUUAAUGUAGACAAAAGAUUGUGCAUAUUGUUUUGUCAUAAAGUUAAUUUACGGAAAUCGCUAUUUAGCCGACUAGCUAACAUUAGCCAGCUAGCUAGCUAGUGUUAUGACAGGAGAAUUGUAUAAUUUGUGUUGUUUAAUGUUUUAGGGACUCCUGAGAAAACCAGAAAACCAGGCUGUUGUCAUGUGAAACAGUGGAUGUAAAGAAUCUAGCUAGCGAAAGCAUUUACUGCAAAUUGAAUGUACAAUUGUGUAAGCUUGCCUUGCAAUGCAGCUGAAGUACCAUAUGUAGCUAACUGUUUACUUGCUUAUUGUGUAGUGGAGGAUGAAAAUAACUGUAUGCCUAUGGAUGUGUAGCUAGCUACAGUAUGUAGCCGAUCUGUAUGCCUAUGGAUGUGUAGCUAGCUACAGUAUGUAGCCGAUCUGUGUGUCUAUGGAUGUGUAGCUAACUACAGUAUGUAGCCGAUCUGUGUGCCUAUGGAUCUGUAGCUUGCUACAGUAAGUAGCCAAUCUGUGUAUGGACCCUCAAACUUUUGCUAUGAAUAUUAGUUCAGAACCUAUGAACCUCAGCUAUCAUAGUUGUAUCAACUUCAAGUCUGAAUGGCAUUAAUGAAGCCUAUGGAUUGAGUAGAAUAUAAUAACUUUAUUGUGCCAAGGAUGCAAGUCCUAUAUACAUGUACUGUAGUUAUUACCACGCAUUAGAUCCCCACAUUGUAGCCUGUACAUUGAAUAUAUUCACUGAUCAUGUAACUCUUCCUUGGCAAAUAAAGGUGCGGUUCAGGUAUAAA